rnacentral:rRNA from 1 species
AGGCUUUGAUCCUGGCUCAGAUUGAACGCUAGCGGCAUGCCUUACACAUGCAAGUCGAACGGCAGCACGGGGGCAACCCUGGUGGCGAGUGGCGAACGGGUGAGUAAUACAUCGGAACGUGCCCAGUAGUGGGGGAUAGCCCGGCGAAAGCCGGAUUAAUACCGCAUACGACCUACGGGUGAAAGCGGGGGACCGCAAGGCCUCGCGCUAUUGGAGCGGCCGAUGGCAGAUUAGCUUGUUGGUGGGGUAAUGGCCUACCAAGGCUACGAUCUGUAGCUGGUCUGAGAGGACGACCAGCCACACUGGGACUGAGACACGGCCCAGACUCCUACGGGAGGCAGCAGUGGGGAAUUUUGGACAAUGGGCGAAAGCCUGAUCCAGCAAUGCCGCGUGUGUGAAGAAGGCCUUCGGGUUGUAAAGCACUUUUGGCGGGAACGAAACAGCCUGGGCUAAUACCCCGGGCGACUGACGGUACCCUGCAGAAUAAGCACCGGCUAACUA